rnacentral:rRNA from 1 species
CCUACGGGUGGCUGCAGUAAGGAAUAUUGGUCAAUGGACGAAAGUCUGAACCAGCCAUGCCGCGUGGAGGAUGAAGGUCCUCUGGAUUGUAAACUUCUUUUAUAUGGGACGAAAAAAGGCCUUUCCAGGUCGUCUGACGGUACCAUAUUAAUAAGCACCGGCUAACUCCGUGCCAGCAGCCGCGGUCAUACGGAGGGUGCAAGCGUUAUGGGGAUUCAGUGGGUUUAGAGGGUGUGGUAAGUCGGUGGUAAAAUCCCCGAGCUUAACUUGGGAACUGCCAUUGAUACUAUCAGUCUUGAAUACCGUGGAGGUCAGCGGAAUAUGUCAUGUAGCGGUGAAAUGCUUAGAUAUGACAUAGAACACCAAUUGCGAAGGCAGCUGGCUACACGAGUAUUGACACUGAGGCACGAAAGCGUGGGGAUCAAACAGGAUUAGAUACCCCGGUAGUC